rnacentral:sRNA from 1 species
GCUCCCGCUCCUGGCUCUGUAGCUGAGAGAAGCCCUGGCAGGUCAGUGGGAGGCACUGUCACCCUGAGUCCUAUGCUGGCAGCGGGGAUCCUUGGGGAGAACCCGGGAUACCGCGGAAGCUGGGAAAUGGAUUCAGUAGCCUUUGAGGAUGUGGCCGUGAACUUCACCCGGGAAGAGUGGGCUUUGCUGGGUCCAUCACAGAAGAGUCUGUACAGAGAUGUGUUAUGGGAAACCAUUAGGAACCUGGACUGUAUAGGAAUGAAAUGGGAAGACACAAACAUUGAAGAUCAGCACAAAAAUCCCAGGAGGAGCCUAAGGUAAUUUGCACUCACAAGAGAAAGACAUAUAUCUGUGGAGCAAUUCUUAGGAUGCAGGAAAUUAUACAACUAGGCAAAGAAAAUGAACGAGCCCAGUAUAAACUUAUUUAUUCCUAUAAAAUUUUCUGCAGAAACAUAAAUAUGACGUAACUAUUCAGUGUUUGCAAAAAUAGUUCCCUUAGAAACAAUAUUAAGAAUUCGGCCGGGUGUGG